GGUUGUUUGGCCGAGUGGUCCAAGGCGCCAGUUUAAGGCACUGGUCCGAGAGGGCGUGGGUUCGAACCCCACAGCAACCA
rfam:Tritrichomonas foetus strain K scaffold_865, whole genome shotgun sequence.